rnacentral:rRNA from 1 species
CCUACGGGUGGCAGCAGUGAGGAAUAUUGGUCAAUGGGCGGGAGCCUGAACCAGCCAAGCCGCGUGAGGGAAGAAGGUACAGCGUAUCGUAAACCUCUUUUGUCAGGGAACAAAGUCGUGGACUAGUCCCCGGAUGAGGGUACCUUAAGAAAAAGCAUCGGCUAACUCCGUGCCAGCAGCCGCGGUAAUACGGAGGAUGCGAGCGUUAUCCGGAUUUAUUGGGUUUAAAGGGUGCGCAGGCGGCCUGUUAAGUCAGGGGUAAAAGCCCGGGCUCAACCCGGGCCGGCCGUUGAAACUGGGGAUCUUGAGUGGGCGAGAAGUAUGCGGAAUGCGUGGUGUAGCGGUGAAAUGCAUAGAUAUCACGAAGAACUCCGAUUGCGAAGGCAGCAUACCGGCGCCCGACUGACGCUGAGGCACGAAAGCGUGGGGAUCGAACAGGAUUAGAUACCCGGGUAGUC